rnacentral:lncRNA from 1 species
GAGCACAGCAGGAGGGAUAAUGAUCGGGAUAUAACCCAAGCAUUCGAGCUGGCAAAGGCUACCUUCUUUGGGUCCCCUCCCUUUGUGUGGGAGCUCUGUUUUCACUCUAUUAAAUCUUGCAACUGCACUCUUCUGGUCCGUGUUUGUUACAGAUCAAGCUGAGCUGAGCUCGCCAUCCACCACUGCUGUUUGCCGCCAUCGCAGACCCGCAGCUGACUUCCAUCCCUCCAGAUCCAGCAGGGUGUCUGCUGUGCUCCUGAUCCAGCCAGGUGCCCAUUGCCACUCCUGAUCAGGCUAAAGGCUUGCCAUUGUUCCUGCACUGCUAAGUGCCUGGGUUCGUCCUAAUGGAGCUGAACACUAGUCACUGGGUUCCAUGGUUCUCUUCUGUGACCCACGGCUUGUAAUAGAGCUAUAACACUCACCACAGGGCCCAAGAUUCCAUUCCUUGGAAUCCGUGAGGCCAAGAACCCCAGGUCAGAGAACACGAGGCUUGCCACCAUCUUGGAAGUGGCCUGCCGCCAUUUUGGAAGUGGCCUGCCACCAUCUUGGGAGCUCUCAGAGCAAGGACCCCCAGGUACUCAUCUAGGUAAUCAUGACACAUGGAUGAACAAACACUUAUAAAGUCCUGUUCUAAUGCAGCUUCUGUUAGUGGAAACUUAUAUUCUAGUUCAUCUUCUGCAUUCUAGAAAAAGUGUCAAGAAAAGAAUAUGAAAAGUCAAAAUAAGGAUGAAAUUGUAGAAAUGCUUUCUUUUUGGAAAGACACACCAAAUUCAUCCUGGUGUAGAGAAUGAUUAGGAGUACAAGUAAGUAUUUCAAGAUGGUAUUGCUUCAAGUUCUAAUUUUUGGAAGCCAGUAUUUUGAUGUCAGUAAUGAUCAUGAUUUAAUCAGGAAGAAUUUUCUUAUUGCUGUUUACUGUUGCAGGAAGUCAGGGACCCCAAAUGGAGGGACUGGCUGAAGCCAUGGCAGAAGAAUGUGGAUUGUGAAGAUUUCAUGGACAUUUAUUAGUUCCCCAAAUUAAUACUUUUAUAAUUUCUUAUGCCUGUCUUUACUGCAAUCUCUAAACAUAAAUUGUGAAGAUUUCAUGGACACUUAUAACUUCCUCAAUCAAUACCCUUGUGAUUUCCUAUGCCUGUCUUUACUUUAAUCUCUUAAUCCUGUCAUCUCGUAAGCCGAGGAGGAUGUAUGCCCCUCAGGACCCUGUGAUAAUUGCAUUAACUGCACAAAUUGUAGAGCAUGUGUGUUUGAACAAUAUGAAAUCUGGGCACCUUGAAAAAAGAACAAGAUAACAGCAAUGUUUAGGAAACAAGAGAGAUAACCUUAAACUGUGACUGCCAGUGAGCCGGGCAGAACAGAGCCAUAUUUCUCUUCUUUCAAAAGCAAAUGGGAGAAAUAUCACUGAAUUCUUUUUCUCAACAAGGAACAUCCCUGGGAAAGAGAAUAUGUGCCUGGGGGUAGGUCUAUAGAUGGCCCCCCUGGGUGUGGUCAUUUUCUAUGGUCUGUAGACUGUAGGGGUGAAAUAGACCCCAGUCUCCCAUAGCACUCCCAGGCUUAUUAGGAAGAGGAAAUUCCCGUCUAAUAAAUUUUGGUCAGACCAGUUGCUCUCAAAACCCUGUCUCCUGAUAAGAUGUUAUCAAUGACAGUGGUGCCCGAAACUUCAUUAGCAAUUUUAAUUUCGCCCCGGUCCUGUGGUCCUGUGAUCUCACCCUGCCUCCAUUUGCCUUGUGAUAUUCUAUUAUCUUGUGAAGUACUUGAUGUCUGUGACCCACACCUAUUUGCACACUCCCUCCC